rnacentral:rRNA from 1 species
UACAGAGGUGGCAAGCGUUGUUCGGAAUUACUGGGCGUAAAGGGCGCGUAGGCGGCCAUCUAAGUCAGACGUGAAAUCCCCCGGCUUAACCUGGGAACUGCGUCUGAUACUGGAAGGCUUGAGUAUGGGAGAGGGAUGUAGAAUUCCAGGUGUAGCGGUGAAAUGCGUAGAUAUCUGGAGGAAUACCGGUGGCGAAAGCGGCUUCCUGGACCAGUACCGACGUUCAGGCACGAAAGCGUGGGGAGCAAACGGG